CAGAAAAUUGGGCGUACAUUGGUCGAGCGAGUAAUUUAGACAACACGCACAUAAAAUGAUUUGUUAUUGUUACAUGACAUUCAUUUAAUUUAAAAACUUCAACAUUUGUUUCAAUUCAGCCAUGGAUGAACUUUGAAAUACUUUAUCUGCGCCCAUCCAUGUCCUGAUAUCAAUUAAAAUAACUUUGCUUCCACGCAAUGUUUUUAAACGUAUACAACUUCGUUUUCCUGCAAGCCCGUCGGACGUGGGGG